AUUUGUAUAGUAUAAAUAUUAUAUUUGACUUCCAAUCAAAAGAUCUAGUUUUUAGUAUAAAUA
rnacentral:tRNA from 1 species